CACGGCUCUUCUGGUAUACACACCGUCGCUGAGUAUUUCCUGUGUCUCCAGUCGUAGUUGCAUGUGUGUGUGUGUGUGUGUGUGUAUCUGUGUAUGUGUGUGUAUUGCAAGACGGCGUUGUUGCUCUCAUUCGCUUCUGGCUGUUGGUUUCUGUCUCCAGUCGAUACGGUGCCUACCCGUCGAUCCGUUUCCCCUAGCGCGCUGCCGCGUCUUUGCUAAGGUGUGUGUGCGUGUGCGUGUGCGUGUGCGUGUGCGUGUGCGUGUGCGUGUGCGUGUGCGUGUGCGUGUGCGUCUUACCUGUUUCCCUUUGAAGGAUGUAUCCAUGUUCACUUUUAGUUUUGCUGUUGACCUCUUUACCGUAUUUCGCUUUCUUCCAUGUCUUGAUGGUUGGUUGCAUGUGUGUGUGUGCGUGUGCGUGUGUGUGCGUACACAGGAGCCUGCUCCAUCCAGUCUCCCACCACCACCACUACCACCCAUCCCGCCGCCGAUGCAGUGCGCUGGUGUUGUAGUCCUUCCUCUCUCCCUUUCUCGUUGGCGUAAGAGGGCGCGUCGGGGGCGAGGGCGGUAGCCUGCGUGCGUGUGUGUGUGUGUGCGUCGAGGGAGCACUUGUUGUUGCCAUUGUGGAAAGCAAGAGGAGGGGGCAAGAGGUGUGGCGCAUGUAUGGAAAGGAGCUGUGAGACGGUGCACGUGCGCGCGUCUUCUGCGGGUAAGAGAGAGGGGGGAUAAGUAGAAGAUGGGGUUGCUGGGGGGUGUUUGCUGCUGGCGCAGAGGUCAAUGCAGCAGCAGCACGAUCUGCGCGCAAAGGCCCAUUUCUAUGCCCCUGCCCCCUCCCCCUACCGUGUUCCUCUUCCGCAGCACCGACCCGUCACUCCAUCAGCCACCAUAUAUCAUCCUCCACGAGAAUAUAUGCACGAAACCCCAGAACAAAAAAAAAUUGUUUCUGCAACAGUUGUAUAGCGGGAAGUGGUCACCACCUCCGACCCUUCGCGGCCCACUAUCAAAAGGACACGCGAACGCGAUAAUGAUAUUCCUUCAACGGAGUCUCUCUCUGGGGAGUCCUUGAGUACGCAUGCGUAUGCAAGUGCGAUCAUCGUGGAAGUGCAAUACCUGCUCCCUUGCAUCGAUCGCCAUCGUCUCCCUCUUUGUAUAGCUGCACGUGCACGUGUCUGAUGCAUCUCACGGUGUCCCCCUUCCCUCCCCCCAAACCCCUACGGCGAAGCACGAGCCGACCAGCACACGACUGCGGAGCGUGUGAUGGGCAAACGAUGAAAAGAACUGGGGGAGAAAGGCAGUAUCCUCUCUUUUACUCCCCCCCCCUUCUUCUUCCCACUCUCUCUUACUUCUCUGUCGUAACCUCACCUACCUUCCCACCCCCCGCCCACUCACGCGAACCUCCACGCCAACGCCGUCGCACGUGGGCACAUACAUGCGUUCGACUCGCAG
rnacentral:misc_RNA from 1 species